rnacentral:rRNA from 1 species
CCCUUAGAUGUUCUGGGCCGCACACGCGCUACACUGAAGGAGGCAGCGUGUACUCCUGGAUCGAAAGAUUUGGGUAACCAGCGAAUCUCCUUCGUGCUAGGGAUUGAGGUUUGCAAUUAUCCUUCAUGAACGAGGAAUUCCCAGUAAGUGCAAGUCAUAAGCUUGCGCUGACUACGUCCCUGCCCUUUGUACACACCGCCCGUCGCUACUACCGAUUGAAUGAUUUAGUGAGGACUUCGGACUGGGACCGAUGCGGCUUUCGGGCUGCGUCGGUAUUCUGGAAAGAUGUCCAAACUGUAUCAUUUAGAGGAAGUAAAAGUCGUAACA